AGAGCGAACGCUGGCGGCAGGCCUAACACAUGCAAGUCGAGCGGCCGUAGCAAUACGGCAGCGGCAGACGGGAGAGUAACACGUGGGAACGCGCCCUUCGGUUCGGAAUAACUCAGGGAAACUUGAGCUAAUACCGGAUACGCCCUUACGGGGAAAGAUUUAUUGCCGAAGGAACGGCCCGCGUCCGAUUAGCUUGUUGGUGAGGUAAUGGCUCACCAAGGCGACGAUCGGUAGCUGGUCUGAGAGGAUGACCAGCCUCACUGGGACUGAGACACGGCCCAGACUCCUACGGGAGGCAGCAGUGGGGAAUAUUGGACAAUGGGCGAAAGCCUGAUCCAGCAAUGCCGCGUGUGUGAAGAAGGCCUUCGGGUUGUAAAGCGACUUUAAGUUGGGAAGAAAAACUACGUCCUAAUACGAUGAGUCUUGACGGUACCGACAGAAUAAGCACCGGCUAACUCUGCGCCAGCAGCCGC
rnacentral:rRNA from 1 species